rnacentral:rRNA from 1 species
GAUGAACGCUGGCGGCGUGCCUAAUACAUGCAAGUCGAGCGAACAGACGAGGAGCUUGCUCCUCUGACGUUAGCGGCGGACUGGUGAGUAACACGUGGAUAACCUACCUAUAAGACUGGGAUAACUUCGGGAAACCGGAGCUAAUACCGGAUAAUAUAUUGAACCGCAUGGUUCAAUAGUGAAAGACGGUCUUGCUGUCACUUAUAGAUGGAUCCGCGCCGCAUUAGCUAGUUGGUAAGGUAACGGCUUACCAAGGCAACGAUGCGUAGCCGACCUGAGAGGGUGAUCGGCCACACUGGAACUGAGACACGGUCCAGACUCCUACGGGAGGCAGCAGUAGGGAAUCUUCCGCAAUGGGCGAAAGCUUGACGGAGCAACGCCGCGUGAGUGAUGAAGGUCUUCGGAUCGUAAAACUCUGUUAUUAGGGAAGAACAAAUGUGUAAGUAACUAUGCACAUCUUGACGGUACCUAAUCAGAAAGCCACGGCUAACUACGUG